rnacentral:rRNA from 1 species
AUUGAACGCUGGCGGCAGGCUUAACACAUGCAAGUCGAGCGAGCGGCGGACGGGUGAGUAAUGUCUGGGAAACUGCCUGAUGGAGGGGGAUAACUACUGGAAACGGUAGCUAAUACCGCAUACCAUCAGAUGUGCCCAGCUGGGAUUAGCUAGUAGGUGAGGUAAUGGUUCACCUAGGCAACGAUCUCUAGCUGGUCUGAGAGGAUGACCCGACACACUGGAACGGAGACACGGUCAAGACUCCUACGGUAGGCAGCAGUGGGGAAUAUUGCACAAUGGGCGCAAUCCUGAUGCAGCCAUGCCGCGUGUGUGAAGAAGGCCUUCGGGUUGUAAAGCACUUUCAGUGAGGAGGCGUUACUCGCAGAAGAAGCACCGGCUAACUCCGUGCCAGCAGCCGCGGUAAUUC